GUCCAGGAGGGCGCUUUGGUCUGCCUCCUCCGCGAAUUCCAUCCAGACCCGGGGCCUCCUCUUUUAUGAACUGACCUGUCCCCACGCACCAGCCACCACCAAAACCAAACCAAAACCAAAAAUCUGCCUCCAGGGCUCCUCCCAACCCCGAACUUUUACCGCAUUCCACAGGGCCCACGGUGAAGGAAUUUGCGCCUAAUGUCGAACAGAUGCUCAUCGUUAAUCACUUGAAAGGGAGCCCAACAGAAAGAAGAGAGAUAUCCCGGAGGAAGGUGCCAGGAGAGCCCGGAGGGACGUCCAAGACUUGGCAGACCUGAACUUCAGUGAGCUUGAUGCUGUCAUUACACCUGCCCUCCAGGUAAAAUGCUCCCAGCUUCCGGCCCUUGCUAUGCCAUUGCAACAGCAUGCGACCACAAGACUAAGUUUUGGCCUUUUGAUGCGACCGUGUUGGGCAGGACUUCGGGACAGGUGGGUUGCCAGGUGUUAUCUGCUUUCAUCUUGACCAUCAGCACGUGCCACAGUUGUGACUGGUGAGAUCUAUUCCCUUUCAUGCUAAUUGGGUCAGGGAAAUUGUGGAAAUAAAACUUAGGUUUUGUUUUACUCACAUCUGUUGAGUCUAGUUUCCCUCUUAAGGACCCAUUCUGAUAAUAGAAGCAAGAACCUGCUUUUUAACUUUGGAAGUAGGAAAUUAGUCUUCAGCCAGACAGAAAUAGAUAGACCUGUUAUAAAGAUUAAAUCUAGCAAUUUGACCUCCUUAACGCAAGCAAGAGUAUAAGUCACCAAUAAAGUUUACCUUUGAAGGUCAAAAGAGAAGUUAAGUGAAGGGAAUAUUGAUCAAUCCAGGAGAAGCUGAAAAGGCUCCGCUGUCACAGUGGGCUGUAAGCUGCAGACGUGCAUUGUUAGUAAAGGAGGUUAAAGCGGCAGUGAGACAGAGGCAGCUAAGGCUAGAGGUGGGAAACGAUCCUCCCAUUAUCCCCUCUUGGUUAGAAAUCCCAUUAUAUUCUCUGUUGGCUUCCUGGACCCCUCCUUUGUGGAGAAAAUAAUAUUGAAGAGUAAUCGAUGUCUUUAAGCGCUAUUUUGAGAAAGCCCCACUCACUCAUUCCCUCAUUUUCCUCCUUGUACAGCUUGUAUUCAUUCCAUCACUUUAAUAAUUCCCUUGUCUACCCCUUCAACUCCCUACCUGAGUAAAUCUAACUUUUAGCUUCACCUGAGUAGCUAAAAAUAGCUGGAGAAAAAACAUGUGCCUUUUGGUCUUCCUGUUUGGGAUGCAUUUUUAUUCCUUUACCCUGCUGAUAGGACAAUCAGAGAGUUCAUGCACUUUUCUUCUCUUGAUUGAACAUCUGGAGGUUUGAUCAGAACCCUUUAAGGAUCUAACAUACGUUAAUAUAUAUUUGGCCUUUCUUCAGUGCUCUGAUGAAGCAUUCAGGGAUAAUAAUUGGGUCAGUUAAAAUAAUAUUAUUCUUAAAGAUCGUUACACGUUAUUUGAAACUUAUAACAUCAAAUAAUUCAUUAUACCAAUAAUUUAAAGAUAUUCAGUUAAAGCAGAUUGAACAUACCUACAUUAUUUUGUCUAUGGUAUUAUUUUUUUCUUGGCACUCUUCCUAUGUGGUGUAAAAGAAAAAUUUAACCGAGCCCCUGUUAUUUUCUUAAUCAGUCAGGUUCAUUCAACCUAUAUUUGUUAAGUGGAUUAUGAAUAUGAUAAACUGUGGCUUGCUUUUUCUAAUUGUAAAAUUUGAUUAAUAUCUACAUCCUUUGCUGAGGAUAGGAACCUUUUCUGCCUUAGACAUAGCUGUAUACCAGCACCUAACAGUGUGUUACAUGAGGGAGGUGCUCAACAAAUGGAGAUGACUACUUUCAUUGACCAAAAGGGCAUCCCUGAAUAUAUGUAGAGCAGUUGAGGAUGGGACAGUAGAACUUCUAGUUUAAAGAGCUAGAAGGAUCAGAAGGAUGAUGGACAAGGAAUUAGAUAAUUCAAAUAUAUGUAAAGUCCUUAACCACAGAAC